GGCUUUUCCGGUUGAUCCUGCCAGAGGUCACUGCUAUCGGGGUUCGAUUAAGCCAUGCGAGUCGUAUGUUCCCCUUCGGGGAGCAUGGCGCACUGCUCAGUAACACGUGGAUAACCUACCCUUGGGACAGGGAUAACCCCGGGAAACUGGGGAUAAUACCUGAUAGACCAUGGAGGCUGGAAGGCGCCAUGGUUCAAAGGGGCAACCGCCCGCCCAAGGAUGGGUCUGCGGCCUAUCAGGUUGUAGUGGGUGUAACGCACCUACUAGCCUACGACGGGUACGGGCUGUGGGAGCAGGAGCCCGRAGAUGGAUUCUGAGACAUGAWUCCAGGCCUACGGGGUGCAGCAGGCGCGAAAACUUUACAAUGCGGGAAACCGUGAUAAGGGAACCUCGAGUGCCGAUGCAUAGCAUCGGCUGUCCAGAUGCCUAAAAAGCAUCUGAUAGCAAGGGCCGGGCAAGACCGGUGCCAGCCGCCGCGGUAACACGGGCGGCUCGAGUGGUGGCCACUUUUAUUGGGUCUAAAGCGUCCGUAGCCGGCUUGGCAAGUCCCCUGGGAAAUCUGGCGGCUUAACCGUCAGGCGUCCAGAGGAUACUGCCAGGCUUGGGACCGGGAGAGGUGAGAGGUACCUCAGGGGUAGGGGUGAAAUCUUGUGAUCCCUGAGGGACCACCAGUGGCGAAGGCGUCUCACUAGAACGGGUCCGACGGUCAGGGACGAAAGCUGGGGGCACGAACCGGAUUAGAUACCCGGGUAGUCCCAGCCGUAAACGAUGCUCGCUAGGUGUCAGGCAUGGCAUGACUGUGCCUGGUGCCGAAGGGAAGCCGUGAAGCGAGCCACCUGGGAAGUACGGCCGCAAGGCUGAAACUUAAAGGAAUUGGCGGGGGAGCGCCACAACGGGUGGAGCUGCGGUUCAAUUGGAGUCAACGCCGGAAAGCC
rnacentral:rRNA from 1 species